AAGUCGUAACAAGGUUUCCGUAGGUGAACCUGCGGAAGGAUCAUUCAUAAUCAAGUGUUUUUAUGGCACUUUCAAAAAUCCAUAUCCACCUUGUGUGCAAUGUCAUCUCUCUGGGGGCUGUCGGCUGUCAAAAGCCGUGUGGUCACCUUUGGGAUUUAUAUCUACUCAGAACUUUAGUGAUUUUGUCUGAAACAUAUUAUGAAUACUUAAUUCAAAAUACAACUUUCAACAACGGAUCUCUUGGCUCUC
rnacentral:misc_RNA from 1 species